GUGGGGAAUAUUGGACAAUGGGCGCAAGCCUGAUCCAGCCAUGCCGCGUGUGUGAAGAAGGCCUUAUGGUUGUAAAGCACUUUAAGCGAGGAGGAGGCUACUUUAGAUAAUACCUAGAGAUAGUGGACGUUACUCGCAGAAUAAGCACCGGCUAACUCUGUGCCAGCAGCCGCGGUAAUACAGAGGGUGCAAGCGUUAAUCGGAUUUACUGGGCGUAAAGCGCGCGUAGGCGGCUAAUUAAGUCAAAUGUGAAAUCCCCGAGCUUAACUUGGGAAUUGCAUUCGAUACUGGUUAGCUAGAGUGUGGGAGAGGAUGGUAGAAUUCCAGGUGUAGCGGUGAAAUGCGUAGAGAUCUGGAGGAAUACCGAUGGCGAAGGCAGCCAUCUGGCCUAACACUGACGCUGAGGUGCGAAAGCAUGGGGAGCAAACAGG
rnacentral:rRNA from 1 species